rnacentral:lncRNA from 1 species
AGGACAACUAGCACUAAGCGUGACUGACAUAAGUAGUCACAUGGAUGUCUGCGCACUCGUUAGUGACUUUCUCGAUGCUGUAGUUGUAUGACUGGUCCUUUGACCUGAGAUGACACUACUGCUUGCAGUGAGGCUGCUGGAGUUUGACUGAUACAUCAACAUAGGUCUUAAUGAGCCCUUGUAGUGGAUAUUGGCGACAGUUGGUCCAAUGUAGGAAUGGGGUGUGCAUCA